UUGGAGGGCAAGUCUGGUGCCAGCAGCCGCGGUAAUUCCAGCUCCAGUAGCGUAUAUUAAAGUUGUUGCAGUUAAAAAGCUCGUAGUUGAAUUUCGGGGUUAGUAGGUUGGUCAUGCCUCUGGUAUGUACUGGUCUCGCUGAUUCCUCCUUCCUGAUGAGCCGUAAUGCCAUUAAUUUGGUGUUGCGGGGAAUUUGGACUGUUACUUUGAAAAAAUUAGAGUGUUUAAAGCAAGCUAACGCUUGAAUACAUUAGCAUGGAAUAAUGAAAUAGGACGUUCGAUCCUAUUUUGUUGGUUUCUAGGAUUGACGUAAUGAUUAAUAGGGAUAGUUGGGGGCAUUAGUAUUCAAUUGUCAGAGGUGAAAUUCUUGGAUUUAUUGAAGACUAACUACUGCGAAAGCAUUUGCCAAGGAUGUUUUCAUUAAUCAAGAACGAAAGUUAGGGGAUCGAAGACGAUCAGAUACCGUCGUAGUCUUAACCAUAAACUAUGCCGACUAGGGAUCGGAUGAUGUUAAUUUUUUAAUGACUCAUUCGGCGCCUCACGGGAAACCAAAGUGUUUGGGUUC
rnacentral:rRNA from 1 species